UUACCGAAUUGGUAAACUCAUCAAAUAUAUGGCAUCUAAGUUCAAAGUGAAGAUAUAGCAUAGAAUAGUUAUUAGAAUAUUAUUUAAGAAGUUAUUUGCGCUAUUACCCUGUUUUUCAUGAUUCAUAGCUGUCGAAAAUUCUAGACAAUGAGUGGAAAUAGAUGUGGCAUCGAAGAUUGCCGGGAUCUUCAAAAUCUUUUAGAAUGUGCAACAAAAUUGCCUAGGCACAAAAACUGGAGAAACAAAAUUGACCAAAAACUGUGCCAAUUGAUUCUUCUCGCUCUGCUCGCCGUUGUAUACAUUUUGUUAACCAAAUGUUUUUAGCAUCGUAGAAAUUGUUCGAAUUUCCACCGACUGGAAGAGCGGAAAUAUACAAAA